AAAACAGCCACCUGUUCUUUCCUUCUUCACCCUGAACUUCUGUUUUCUUCCUACAUAAGGAAUAGAAAAACUUAUCAUUGGUUCUCAUCAGGCAGUUUUGAUUGUUCCCAUCAGGCAAAACAAUGAACAAGAAUGGCAAUUCCUUCUUUGACAAACUGUAGCAGGUUGCAACUGAUGUCAAUAGAACAGAACAGGUUUUUCGGGGCAAUUGCCAACCUCAUUGUCUAACUUGUCCAGAAACAUACAAGAGCUAAAUAUUUUUGCCAACAAUAUAUCUGGCACUAUCCCAUCGGAUAUCGGAAACUUGAUAGGCCUGGAGGUGCUUGUUCUUGGUCGCAACUUGCUCAAUGGGAUAAUUCAUGAGAGCAUAGGGAAGCUUGCACAGCGGGAUGUAAAUGGCAAAUAAACAGCGUCCACAAGUCCCGUUUAGUUAGCUUUAUCUAGCUUGAUAGUUCAUUCUCCCUGGAAAAAAAACAAAUUAUUGAACUGUUAAGACCAUAAGUGGGUUUAAACGGGACCUGCUUUGCAUCCCAAAGUCAAUUAAUAUGGAUCGAAGGGAGUAAUAAAAACAUAGAAGAACUAAUGCUAAUUGGUUUCCAUCAAACAGAUGGACCCGAUUGUUUCAUUCAUUGCACCGCGCCUUGAUAAAUCACUGGGGCCUCCUGGACUACAUCAUGGGGGGCAGGUGCAGCUCAGGAGCAUUUAAUCAGGGAGAGCAAGUCAGUUUCGGCAAUGGUACCGGUACUAAUUUAAUCCGGCAAAAGGCUCGCCGGCAUCAUCCAAAUUCUGUAUUUUAAUCAGGGAGAGCAAGUCAGUUUCGGCACAGGUGCAGAAGUGGUCAAAUUCAGUCCUAGGUCACUAACAUGAAUAAUGGUACCGGUACUAAUUUAAUCCGGCAAAAGGCUCGCCGGCAUCAUCCAAAUUCUGUAUCAGAAAGAAAGAGCUUGUAGCUCCAAUGAUCCAUACCGAGGAGAGAGAGAAAAGAACCACCCAAAUAACCAGCCCGAUGCAGCAAACCAUGUGGCGGAGGGGUACACCGCUGCCACGGCGCCUCUUCGGAAUCAGAUGUCUUGUGCUUCUCCUACUCUCCACCAUGGGGGUCAUGCACGCACACGACGACAACGAGGGAGCUCUCACGGCUUUCAAGGAAAGGAUUUCAGACCAUUCCGGGGUGCUGGCCUCCUGGAACCGGAGCAUCAGCUACUGUGCCUGGGAGGGCGUCACGUGCAGCCGGAGACAUCGGUCGAGGGUGGUUGCUCUGGACCUAAACUCUCAGGGGAUCUCCGGCACUAUCUCCCCUGCCAUCGGCAACCUCACGUUCCUCCGCACGCUCAACUUGAGCCUCAAUCCCUUGCACGGCAAGAUUCCUCCCAGCAUCGGCUCCCUCCGCCGUCUCAAGUACCUUGGACUCCAAGGGAACAUGCUCACUGGUGCGAUCCCAAGCAACAUUAGCCGCUGCACCAACCUCAGGGUGAUGAUAAUUGCUGACAACAAGGGGUUGCAAGGAAGCAUACCUUCUGAGAUCGGCAACAUGCAAUCGCUACGUGUUGUACACCUAUACAACAACAGCCUCACUGGGACCAUCCCCUCAUCACUUGGGAACCUCUCACAGGUGACCAUCUUGUCCCUGGCAGCUAACCAUCUCGAGGGAUCAAUCCCCGAGAGCAUUGGGAACAAUGCACAUCUCGGGUUCCUUCAGCUGGCCAUGAACAACCUCUCAGGUUUGCUUCCUCUUUCGCUGUACAACCAGUCAUCUCUGUACAUGUUUUUUGUGACGGACAACUACCUGCAUGGCCGUCUACCAGCUCAUCUGGGAAGAAGCCUUCCUAGCAUACAGCAGUUUGGAUUUGGGAAUAACCGAUUCACUGGAGUUGUGCCUCCAUCACUGACUAAUAUCUCCAGACUCCAGCUUUUUGAUGUUGCAAAUAACGGAUUCAGUGGGGUUGUCCCUUCAGACUUGGGAAAAUUGCAGUAUCUUAGAAGGUUUAAUCUGGUUGGAAACAAGUUUGAGGCAAACAAUGAGCAAGAAUGGCAAUUCCUUACUUCUUUGACAAACUGUAGCAGGUUGCAACAGAUAAAUAUAGAACAGAACAGGUUCUCGGGGCAAUUACCAACCUCAUUGUCUAACUUGUCCACAAACAUCCAAGAGCUAGAUAUUUUUAACAACAAUAUAUCUGGUACUAUUCCAUCAGAUAUUGGAAAUUUGAUAGGUCUUGAGGUGCUUAUUCUUGCUGGCAACUUGCUCACUGGGGCCAUUCCUGAGACCAUAGGGAAACUUAUACAAUUGAAGAGGCUACAUCUGAGUUCCAACAACUUAUCAGGAUUCAUCCCCUCUUCCAUCGGAAACCUCGCUGGUCUUUAUAGGCUUGGUGCAAGCUUCAACAGCUUGGAGGGACCGAUUCCAUCAAGCAUUGGGAAUUUGACAAAACUUUCAGCACUAGAUAUAUCGACGAACCAUCUUUCUGGCUCAAUUCCAAAGGAAAUUAUGCAACUAUCAUCCAUCUCAAUUUAUUUGGCUUUGUCUUACAACUUGCUGGAGGGACCUCUACCUUCAGAGAUUGGCAAUUUGGUAAAUCUCGAACAGCUUAUCCUAUCAGGGAACCAGUUGUCUGGUAAAAUACCUGCAGCCAUUGGUGGCUGCGUGGUCCUGGAAACCCUCUUGAUGGAUGGCAAUUCAUUCCAAGGAAACAUCCCUCCCACUUUGAAGAACAUCAAAGGGCUUACUGUACUGAAUUUGACGAACAACAAACUGAACGGUAGCAUCCCAGGGGAACUGAGCAACAUUACCAGCUUGCAGGAACUGUAUCUUGCACAUAAUGAUCUGUCAGGGUCAAUCCCUGAACUCCUUGGUUAUUCAACAUCUCUGCUCCACCUCGACAUAUCGUUCAACAAUUUACAAGGUGAGGUACCAAAAGAAGGGAUUUUCAGGAAUUUAACUGGACUAUCAAUUUUUGGAAACAAUGAGUUAUGUGGUGGAAUACCACAGCUUCAACUGCCAAAAUGUCCAAGCUCCAAGAGAGGCUUGCCAAAGUCCCUGAGAAUAGCUGUCCCUGCAGCAGUUGGUAUCCUAGUCUUACUUGUAGCUCUUGCUUUAGCUGGAUUUCUGUACAGAAAAUUUAAGUCAGGAUUGAGGAAAGAACAACUGUCACCUCAGAAGAUUGACCUUCCAACGGUUUCAUACAACGACAUACUCAAAGCAACGGACGGGUUUUCAGAAGCCAAUCUGCUUGGGAAGGGAAGAUAUGGUACUGUAUACAAAGGCACUCUAGAAAAUUUUGCUGCCGCUGUGAAGGUGUUUAAUCUGCAGCAAUCUGGAUCCUACAAGAGCUUCCUGGAUGAAUGUGAGGCACUAAGAAGAGUUAGGCACCGUUGCCUUGUAAAGAUCAUCACAUGUUGUUCAAGCAUCAACCACCAAGGCCAAGACUUCAGAGCGCUAGUCUUCGAGCUCAUGCCCAAUUUCAGCUUAGACCGCUGGAUCCACCCAGAUAUUGAAAGCCAAAACAGAAUGGGAACACUCAGCCUGUCACAGAGGUUAGAUAUCGCCGUUGACCUCGUGGAUGCUAUAGACUAUCUUCACAAUGGUUGCCAACCUUCCAUCAUCCAUUGCGAUCUCAAGCCAAGCAACAUUCUUCUCACAGAGGACAUGAGGGCUCGUGUUGGGGAUUUUGGCAUUGCUAGAAUUCUAAAAGAAGCUGCAAGCGAAGCUUCUGCAAGUUCCCUUAGCUCCAUGGGAAUAAGAGGAUCCAUUGGAUAUGUUGCUCCAGGUAACUGAAUAUGCUCCCCCUAUGCUUGAAAUGAUCACAUUUAAUUAGAUAUAUGUUUUUUAAGGCUUAAUUAGAUACAAUAUAUGUUUAUGAAAUAACUUCUGUGCAUACCUGUUUAUACCCCGAAUUGUUUCAAUCCAUUGUAGAAUAUGGAGAAGGGCUUCCAGUAUCUACUUAUGGUGAUGUGUACAGCCUUGGGAUCACCUUGAUCGAGAUGUUUACUGGAAGGUGCCCGACAGAUGAUAUGUUUAGAGAUGGGUUAACCCUGCAAUACUUUGCAGAGGCAGCAGGUCUAUCUGGGAAUGUCAUGAAGAUAGCAGACUCCAACAUCUGGCUGCAUGAUGAAGCAAACGAUAGCACUGAUACAGAAAAUAUAAGCAGAGCCAAGGAAUGUUUGGCUGCCAUCAUCCAGCUUUGUGUCCUAUGCUCAAAGCAAUUGCCCAGAGAAAGGAUGUCAACAAGUGAUGCUGCUGCAGAGAUGCAUGCCAUCAGAGAUGCCUACCUCAGUAGUCAGUGAAGUGAUGUUAAAUCAUAUGAAGAAACCACUACCAAAUGCCGAUAACCAUGGGUUCUCCAAGUAUAUUAUUGAGAUCUGUACUAUGUUGUGAUGUAAAGUCUAUCAACUGGUACUGUAUUAUUCACUUUAUACACGUUAUCAUUUGUGACAGCAUUGCUGUGGUCUAGGGUAUAAAGAACACAAGAACAUAUGCCUUCCAUCAGUUUUAUUCCAGUCAACCAAUUUCUGAAUCAACCAGCCGCUAAGUGCAAGAAACGAGUCGCGGCUCGCCUACUGUUUAAUCCAAAUUUCAGCACUGGCUUUUGUUUCCAAGUUACUUGUGUUGCGCUUCCAGCCACUUUUGCUGAAGUAUCAUCCUUUGUCGGUAUCAACUAGAUGCUGGCAUGCUGCAACCUCAGGGCUAAUUCAAGAGAGGAAAGAGGGGUGCUACGUGAGAAGAACAAAACUCAAGAAAUGUGUGUGUAAAGUAUCCAGUACAUCACAAGACAUACACCAACUCUCUUUGCAGACUCGUCUUCCAAAGUCAAUUCUGUUGCACUUCCGGCCUCUUUUGUUGAAUUAUCAACUUCACUGGGGAAACUACAUGCUGCAACUUCAACUUCAACUUCAGGGCUAGUUCAAAGGGAACGAAACACCGAACUUUCCUUUUCCUUCAAAAAAAAUCCAACACGAGCACUUGUUCAACUAUGGGCCCCUAAACACCAGCCACGCGUUCUCAUCUAUACUCUUUUUUUUUGACAAAAAACAUAGAAGAAUUCAGGCUAAUUGGUUCCCAUCAGACAGAGACAGUCUUGAUUGUUUUAUUCAUUGCAUUGGGACCUCCUGGACUACAUCACUGGGACCAGGUGCAGCUGAGGAGCAAUUAAUCAGGGACAGCACGUCAGUUUCAACACAGCUGCAUAAGUGGUCAGAUUCAGUCCGAGGUCACUAACAUCGACAACUUGGUACCAGUACUAUUUUAAUUUCGCGAAAGGCACACCAACAUCGUGCAAAUUCUGUAUCAGAAAGCUAGAACUUGUAGCUCCAAUGUUCCAUACCAAGGAAGAGAGAGUGAAAAUAACCACGCACAGAACCAUGUGGCGGAGGGGUACACCGCUGCCACGGCGCCUCGUCGGAAUCAAAUGUCUUGUGCUUCUCCUGCUCUCCACCAUGGGGGUGACGCGCGCACAUGACGGAGAUGAGAGCGCUCUCGAAGCAUUCAAGGAAAGGAUUUCAGACCAUUCAAGGGUGCUGUCCUCCUGGAACAGGAGCAUCAGUUACUGCGCCUGGGAGGGCGUCACGUGCAGCCAGAGGCACCGAUCGAGGGUGGUCGCUCUGGACCUCAACUCCCAGGGGCUCGCCGGCACCAUCUCCCCUGCCGUCGGCAACCUCACGUUCCUCCGCACACUCAACUUGAGCCUCAACCCCUUGUACGGUAAGAUCCCUCCCAGCAUCGGCUCCCUCCACCGCCUCAGGUACCUUGGCCUGCAAGGGAACAUGCUCACCGGUGCGAUCCCAAGCAACAUUAGCCACUGCAGCAGCCUCAGGAAGAUGGUAAUUGCUGACAAUAAGGGGUUGCAAGGAAGCAUACCUUCUGAGAUCGGCAACAUGCAAUCGCUACGUCUUGUACACCUAUACAACAACAGCCUCACCGGGACCAUCCCGUCAUCACUAGGGAACCUCUCCCAGGUGUCCAUCUUGUCCCUGGCAGCUAACCAUCUCCAGGGAUCGAUCCCUGAGGGCAUUGGGAACAUCCCAUCUCUCGAGUUCCUUCAGCUGGCCAUAAAUAACCUCUCAGGUUUGUUUCCUCUUUCGCUGUACAACCAGUCAUCUCUGCACAGAUUUUAUGUGGCGGACAACAACCUGCACGGCCGUCUACCAGCUGAUCUGGGGAGAGGCCUUCCAAACAUGCAACAGUUUGCAAUGGGGGACAAUCAAUUUACUGGAGUUGUGCCUCCAUCACUAACUAAUCUCUCCAGACUCCAGGUUUUUGAUGCUCCAAAUAACGGAUUCAGUGGGGUUGUCCCUUCGGAGUUGGGAAGAUUGCAGUAUCUUAGAUGGUUUUGUCUGGAUGUGAACAAGUUCGAGGCAAACAAUGAGCGAGAAUGGCAAUUCCUUAUUUCUUUGACAAACUGUAGCAGGCUGCGACUGAUGUCUAUAGAACAAAACAGGUUCUCGGGGCAAUUGCCAACCUCAGUGUCUAACUUAUCCACAAACAUCCAAGAGCUAAGUAUUUUGGCCAACAAUAUAUCUGGUACUAUCCCAUCAGAUAUUGGAAAUUUCAUAGGUCUGGAGGUGCUUCAUCUUGGUCACAACUUACUCACCGGGAUAAUUCCUGAUAGCAUAGGGAAGCUUACACAAUUGAAGGAGCUACACCUGGGCUACAACAACUUAUCAGGAUUUAUCCCGUCCUCCAUUGGAAACCUCACCGGUCUGUCUAAGUUUGAUGCAAGCUUCAACAGCUUGGAGGGACCAAUCCCAUCAAGCAUCGGAAAAUUGACCAAACUUUCACAACUAGAUCUAUCGAGAAACCAUCUUAAUGGCACAAUUCCAAGUGAAAUUAUGCAACUAUCAUCGAUCUCAAUAUAUUUGGCUUUGUCUUACAACUUGCUGAAGGGACCUCUUCCUUCAGAAGUUGGUAAGUUGGUAAAUCUCGGGCAGCUUCUUCUAUCCGGGAACCAACUGUCUGGUAAAAUACCUGCAACCAUUGGUGGCUGCGUAGUCCUGGAAACCCUCUUAAUGGAUGGCAAUUCAUUCCAAGGAAACAUCCCUCCCAGUUUGAAGAACAUAAAAGGGCUUACUGUGCUGAAUUUGACGAACAACAAACUGAAUGGAAGCAUUCCAGGGGACCUGAGCAAUAUUACCAGCUUGGAGGAAUUGUAUCUUGCACAUAAUGAUCUAUCAGGGCCAAUACCUGAACUCCUAGGUUAUUCAACAUCACUGUUCCACCUCGACAUAUCCUUCAACAAUUUACAAGGUGAGGUACCAAAAGAAGGGAUUUUCAGGAAUUUAACUGGACUAUCAAUUGUUGGCAACAAUGAGUUAUGUGGUGGAAUACCACAGAUUCAACUGCCAAAAUGCCCAAGCUCCAAGAAAGGCUUGCCAAAGUCUCUGAGAAUAGUUGUCCCUACAACAGGAGGUAUCCUGGUCUUCCUUGCAGCUCUUGCUUUAGCUGGAUUUCUGUACACAAAAUUUAAGCCAGGGUUGAGGAAAGAACUACGGUCACCUCAGACGACCAAGAUUGACCUUCCAAUGGUUUCAUACAACGACAUACUCAAAGCAACGGAUGGGUUUUCAGAAGCCAAUCUGCUCGGGAAGGGAAGAUAUGGUACUGUAUACAAAGGUACUCUAGAAAAUUUCGCUGCGGCUGUGAAGGUGUUUAAUCUGCAGCAAUCCGGAUCCUACAAAAGCUUCCAGGAUGAAUGUGAGGCACUAAGAAGAGUUAGGCACCGUUGCCUUGUAAAAAUCGUCACGUGCUGUUCAAGCAUCAACCACCAAGGCCAAGACUUCAGAGCACUAGUCUUCGAGCUCAUGCCUAAUGGCAGCUUAGACCGCUGGAUCCACCCAGACAUUGAAAGUCAAAACAGAAAUGGAACACUCAGCUUGUCACAGAGGUUAGAUAUCGCUGUUGACCUUGUGGAUGCUUUAGACUAUCUACACAAUGGAUGCCAACCUUCCAUCAUCCAUUGCGAUCUCAAGCCAAGCAACAUUCUUCUCACUGGUGACAUGAGGGCUCGUAUUGGGGAUUUUGGUAUCGCUAGAAUUCUUAAUGAAGGUGGAAGCGAAGCUUCUGCAAAUUCCCUUAGCUCCAUCAGAAUAAGAGGAUCCAUUGGAUAUGUUGCUCCAGGUAACUGAAUAUGCUCCCCCUAUGCUUCACAUGAUAACACCAGAUUAGGUAUAUGUUCAUGAAACAACUUCUGUGCAUAACUUCCCCGCAAAAAAAAAAAAAANNNNNNNNNNNNNNNNNNNNNNNNNNNNNNNNNNNNNNNNNNNNNNNNNNNNNNNNNNNNNNNNNNNNNNNNNNNNNNNNNNNNNNNNNNNNNNNNNNNNNNNNNNNNNNNNNNNNNNNNNNNNNNNNNNNNNNNNNNNNNNNNNNNNNNNNNNNNNNNNNNNNNNNNNNNNNNNNNNNNNNNNNNNNNNNNNNNNNNNNNNNNNNNNNNNNNNNNNNNNNNNNNNNNNUCUGUGCAUACCUGUUUGAACUCCAAAUUGUUUCAAUCCAAUGC
rnacentral:lncRNA from 1 species